rnacentral:rRNA from 1 species
GAUGAACGCUGGCGGCGUGCCUAAUACAUGCAAGUCGAGCGAACGGACGAGAAGCUUGCUUCUCUGAUGUUAGCGGCGGACGGGUGAGUAACACGUGGAUAACCUACCUAUAAGACUGGGAUAACUUCGGGAAACCGGAGCUAAUACCGGAUAAUAUUUUGAACCGCAUGGUUCAAAAGUAAAAGACGGUCUUGCUGUCACUUAUAGAUGGAUCCGCGCUGCAUUAGCUAGUUGGUAAGGUAACGGCUUACCAAGGCAACGAUGCAUAGCCGACCUGAGAGGGUGAUCGGCCACACUGGAACUGAGACACGGUACAGACUCCUACGGGAGGCAGCAGUAGGGAAUCUUCCGCAAUGGGCGAAAGCCUGACGGAGCAACGCCGCGUGAGUGAUGAAGGUCUUCGGAUCGUAAAACUCUGUUAUUAGGGAAGAACAUAUGUGUAAGUAACUGUGCACAUCUUGACGGUACCUAAUCAGAAAGCCACGGCUAACUACGUG